GACCAUAUGGCUCAGUGGUUGCAGCACCUGGUAAACACCUAGGAGGUCACUGGUUCAAUCUUAGGACUGGUCA